AUGGCCGACAGCGAUGCCGAGAGCUGCGGGCCGCUCGUGGCCGCCGACGACGUGAGGAGGGGGAUCUUCAACCGCCCGCGGGCCACUGGCAACCAGGAGGCGCUCUCUGACCCCUUCUUCGACCGCCCGCUCGAGGACCACUAUGAGCACCUCCCGUCCAGCUACUACAUCGACCUCGACGUGAACAAGGCCGUCGACGUGCUGCUGCACUGCCGAAUCCUCGCAGAGUGCGCCGCGGACCCCGACGAGAUCCACCCGCCCUCUCCCAUGUGUCCGCCCUGUCGUCCGUCCCCAAGCUAUGAAGGGACUUUCAUGAAUCAUAGCACUGGUCACGGAGGUUCUGCUGGAAACAAGUUCAGGAUGUCUCUAGGUCUGCCUGUAGCAGCCACUGUGAACUGCGCUGAUAACACUGCUGUUGCAUUUGGCGGAGCUGCCGCUGCCGCCCCAAAGGGCAACCUUCAUCAGACAUAA
rnacentral:rRNA from 1 species